GACGAACGCUGGCGGCGUGCUUAACACAUGCCAGUCGAACGGUGAAGCGCCUUCCUUUUUGGUGGGUGUGGAUGAGUGGCGAACGGGUGAGUAACACGUGAGUAACCUGCCCCCUUCUUCUGGAUAACCGCAUGAAAGUGUGGCUAAUACGGGAUAUUCUGGGUCUGUCGCAUGAUGGGUCUGGGAAAGAUAUUGUUUCGGUGGGGGAUGGGCUCGCGGCCUAUCAGCUUGUUGGUGGGGUGAUGGCCUACCAAGGCGGUGACGGGUAGCCGGCAUGGGAGGGGGGACGGACACACUGGGACUGAGACACGGCCCAGACGCCUACGGGAGGCAGCAGGGGGGAAGAUGGCACAAUGGGCGCAAGCCUGAUGCAGCGACGCCGCGUGAGGGAUGGAGGCCUUCGGGUUGUGAACCUCUUUCGCCAGUGAAGCAGGCCUGCCUCGUUUGUGGGUGGGUUGACGGUAGCUGGAUAAGAAGCGCCGGCUAACUACGUG
rnacentral:rRNA from 1 species